AAGUUCUCAGCUUGUCAAAUGAUCUCGGAGAGUAUAGCAAGGUUAAACUGAAGAUCUGCUUAACUGAUUCCCUGGCUUAGUUCCAGCAUGUGCAAUGAUGCAGUUCUGAAGUGCAAAGUGCUUAAUCAUUAAGCUUGCUCUGGCAGGAAAACAUUUUACAAGUUCCACUACACAAACUUCACUAUCAAUUCAUACAGCAGAUAUCAUCAUACACAGUCCAGGUGUGAAGAUUUGGGCUCAGAGAGACCAAGUCAGUGAAUUGCCUGAAGACACAUUGUUGAGUACCUGCUUUCUCUGUGGAAGCUGUGGCAAAUUUCCAGACUUGGCAUCAGGUGGCUUUUGAUGAUUCUCAAAGAUAAUAUUCAUCUAACAUGAAUACAUUUUACUGCUCCUGGGGACACCUAUAAGAAUGCCCCACUGUGGCCGGGCACAGUGGUUCAUGCCUAUAAUUCCAGUACUUUGGGAGGCCAAGGCGGGCAGAUCACCUGAAGUCGGAAGUGUGAGACCAGCCUGACCAGCGUGGAGAAACCUCAUCUCUAUUAAAAAUACAAAAUCAACUGGGCGUGGUGGCACAUGCCUGUAAUCACAGCUCCUCGGGAGGCUGGGGCAGGAGAAUUGCUCGAACCCAGGAGGCAGAGGUUGUGGUAAGCUGAGAUUGCAACAUUGCACUUCAGCCUGGGCAACAAGAGCAAAACUCCGUCUCGAAACAACAACAACAGCAACAACAACAACAGCAACAGCAACAAAAUGCCCCACUGCCUAAAAAUAUAUCCUAAACACGAAGUUCAAAAAUGUUUUAAUCAAUGAAAGCAAAAAUAAAAUGUGUGUGGAGCUUCCUAAAGGUAAAA